GGAGAGAUGGCUCAGUGGUUAAGAGCACCUACUGCUGUUCCAGAGGUCCUGAGUUCAAUUCCCAGCAACCACA
rnacentral:tRNA from 1 species